rnacentral:rRNA from 1 species
AGUUGGGGGCAUCAGUAUUCUGAAGCGAGAGGUGAAAUUCUUGGACCUUCGGAAGACUAACAACUGCGAAAGCAUUUGCCUAGGAUGUUCUCUUUAAUCAAGAACGAAAGUUGGGGGAUCGAAGACGAUCAGAUACCGUCGUAGUCUCAACUAUAAACUAUGCCAGCUAGGGAUUGGUGGACGUUUAUUUACGACUCCAUCAGCACCUUAUGAGAAAUCAAAGCAUUUGGGUUCCGGGGGGAGUAUGGUCGCAAGGCUGAAACUUAAAGGAAUUGACGGGAGGGCACCACCAGGAGUGGAGCCUGUGGCUUAAUUUGACUCAACACGGGAAAACUUACCAGGUCCGGACAUAGUAAGGAUUGACAGAUUGAUAGCUCUUUCU